ACUGAGUGGGGAUCCUUUACAAUCAAAUUUCAAAAAAGGCAAAUAGGGAUUGAGGACUCCCUCAUCUCUGCCUCCCUUUUAAAUACCAGUUUUUUUUGGUGUAAACCAUAGCUUAGCAUUUUUAGAGAUAGAAAAAAAAAAGGGUCUCAAGAAAGAAGAAAAAUGGAGGUCUUGAGACUCUGUUUAAUGGCUAUUUUUGGUUUGGUUUUGGCAUUGGCUAUUCCUUCAAUCAAUGCUCAAGUCCCUGAGCCUGCUCCUGCCCCUGCAAGUGAUGGAGUUGCAAUUGACCAAGGUAUAGCCUAUGUGCUAAUGCUGGUUGCUUUGGCCAUUACCUACAUUAUUCAUUGAGCAAUUUGUAUAGCCUCCAUUGCGGUUUUUUUUUUUUUUUUAAUUUUCUUUUGGUUUUGAUGGAGAAUGGUAGGCAUGAUUUGAUCAUGUAUUUCAUACUCUUGUAUUCUUUUGGAGGUUGGAAUUUGCUAUUUCUUUCAUUCAAUGAUUAAAUUGUAGAAAUUCUUUAAAUCUUCUUUCUACUUUCCAUUAUGUAUGGUAUUGUCUUUUCCAUAUUAACAACAGUUACAAGUCUCGAA